CCCCUGUUCUGAGUGCUCGCCCACGUGUCCCGUCCCGGUCCCCGCUCCAGAAAGAUAAGUCCUUCUCAGAGAGAGUGCCUGUUAGAAUGCCGAGGAAGAAGGGACAGCCGGAACUUCAGGUCGCCGUGACAGGUCUUAAGGAGAGUGAGACAUAAAGUAUCCGGGGUCACUGAAUUCCUGAAGCAUUCUUAUACACCCAGUGAUUCUCAGGUCUAAGAAAAAGACCCAGCAACGAGAAAUACAUCGUAACAACACAUGAUGGAUCUAGGUGAGACAGGGAAUAGUUCUUUA
rnacentral:lncRNA from 1 species